CCUACGGGUGGCUGCAGUCGAGAAUCAUUCACAAUGGGGGAAACCCUGAUGGUGCGACGCCGCGUGCGGGAAUGAAGGUCUUCGGAUUGUAAACCCCUGUCAUGUGGGAGCAAAUUAAAAAGAUAGUACCACAAGAGGAAGAGACGGCUAACUCUGUGCCAGCAGCCGCGGUAAUACAGAGGUCUCAAGCGUUGUUCGGAAUCACUGGGCGUAAAGCGUGCGUAGGCUGUUUCGUAAGUCGUGUGUGAAAGGCGCGGGCUCAACCCGCGGACGGCACAUGAUACUGCGAGACUAGAGUAAUGGAGGGGGAACCGGAAUUCUCGGUGUAGCAGUGAAAUGCGUAGAUAUCGAGAGGAACACUCGUGGCGAAGGCGGGUUCCUGGACAUUAACUGACGCUGAGGCACGAAGGCCAGGGGAGCGAGAGGGAUUAGAUACCCCUGUAGUC
rnacentral:rRNA from 1 species